rnacentral:rRNA from 2 species
UUAAAUUGAAGAGUUUGAUCAUGGCUCAGAUUGAACGCUGGCGGCAGGCCUAACACAUGCAAGUCGAACGGUAGCACAGAGAGCUUGCUCUCGGGUGACGAGUGGCGGACGGGUGAGUAAUGUCUGGGAAACUGCCUGAUGGAGGGGGAUAACUACUGGAAACGGUGGCUAAUACCGCAUAACGUCGCAAGACCAAAGAGGGGGACCUUCGGGCCUCUUGCCAUCAGAUGUGCCCAGAUGGGAUUAGCUAGUUGGUGAGGUAACGGCUCACCAAGGCGACGAUCCCUAGCUGGUCUGAGAGGAUGACCAGCCACACUGGAACUGAGACACGGUCCAGACUCCUACGGGAGGCAGCAGUGGGGAAUAUUGCACAAUGGGCGCAAGCCUGAUGCAGCCAUGCCGCGUGUAUGAAGAAGGCCUUCGGGUUGUAAAGUACUUUCAGCGGGGAGGAAGGUGUUGUGGUUAAUAACCGCAGCAAUUGACGUUACCCGCAGAAGAAGCACCGGCUAACUCCGUGCCAGCAGCCGCGGUAAUACGGAGGGUGCAAGCGUUAAUCGGAAUUACUGGGCGUAAAGCGCACGCAGGCGGUCUGUCAAGUCGGAUGUGAAAUCCCCGGGCUCAACCUGGGAACUGCAUUCGAAACUGGCAGGCUUGAGUCUUGUAGAGGGGGGUAGAAUUCCAGGUGUAGCGGUGAAAUGCGUAGAGAUCUGGAGGAAUACCGGUGGCGAAGGCGGCCCCCUGGACAAAGACUGACGCUCAGGUGCGAAAGCGUGGGGAGCAAACAGGAUUAGAUACCCUGGUAGUCCACGCCGUAAACGAUGUCUACUUGGAGGUUGUGCCCUUGAGGCGUGGCUUCCGGAGCUAACGCGUUAAGUAGACCGCCUGGGGAGUACGGCCGCAAGGUUAAAACUCAAAUGAAUUGACGGGGGCCCGCACAAGCGGUGGAGCAUGUGGUUUAAUUCGAUGCAACGCGAAGAACCUUACCUGGUCUUGACAUCCACAGAACUUUCCAGAGAUGGAUUGGUGCCUUCGGGAACUGUGAGACAGGUGCUGCAUGGCUGUCGUCAGCUCGUGUUGUGAAAUGUUGGGUUAAGUCCCGCAACGAGCGCAACCCUUAUCCUUUGUUGCCAGCGAUUAGGUCGGGAACUCAAAGGAGACUGCCAGUGAUAAACUGGAGGAAGGUGGGGAUGACGUCAAGUCAUCAUGGCCCUUACGACCAGGGCUACACACGUGCUACAAUGGCGCAUACAAAGAGAAGCGACCUCGCGAGAGCAAGCGGACCUCAUAAAGUGCGUCGUAGUCCGGAUUGGAGUCUGCAACUCGACUCCAUGAAGUCGGAAUCGCUAGUAAUCGUGGAUCAGAAUGCCACGGUGAAUACGUUCCCGGGCCUUGUACACACCGCCCGUCACACCAUGGGAGUGGGUUGCAAAAGAAGUAGGUAGCUUAACCUUCGGGAGGGCGCUUACCACUUUGUGAUUCAUGACUGGGGUGAAGUCGUAACAAGGUAACCGUAGGGGAACCUGCGGUUGGAUCACCUCCUUACCUUAAAGAAGC